UACGUAGGGUGCGAGCGUUGCCCGGAUUUAUUGGGCGUAAAGCGCACGUAGGCGGACUGUUAAGUCGGAUGUGAAAUCCCUCAGCUUAACUGAGGAAGUGCACUCGAAACUGGCAGUCUUGAGUAUGGAAGAGGGUCGCGGAAUUCCCGGUGUAGAGGUGAAAUUCGUAGAUAUCGGGAGGAACACCAGUGGCGAAGGCGGCGACCUGGGCCAAUACUGACGCUGAGGUGCGAAAGCGUGGGGAGCAAACAGG
rnacentral:rRNA from 1 species